rnacentral:rRNA from 1 species
UAGGGAAUCUUCCGCAAUGGGCGAAAGCCUGACGGAGCAACGCCGCGUGAGUGGUGAAGGUCUUCGGAUCGUAAAACUCUGUUAUUAGGGAAGAACAAAUGUGUAAGUAACUAUGCACGUCUUGACGGUACCUAAUCAGAAAGCCACGGCUAACUACGUGCCAGCAGCCGCGGUAAUACGUAGGUGGCAAGCGUUAUCCGGAAUUAUUGGGCGUAAAGCGCGCGUAGGCGGUUUUUUAAGUCUGAUGUGAAAGCCCACGGCUCAACCGUGGAGGGUCAUUGGAAACUGGAAAACUUGAGUGCAGAAGAGGAAAGUGGAAUUCCAUGUGUAGCGGUGAAAUGCGCAGAGAUAUGGAGGAACACCAGUGGCGAAGGCGACUUUCUGGUCUGUAACUGACGCUGAUGUGCGAAAGCGUGGGGAUCAAACAGG